UACGAAGGGGGCAAGCGUUAUUCGGAAUCACUGGGCGUAAAGGGCGCGUAGGCGGCUGGGUAAGUCCGGUGUGAAAACGCUACCGCUCAACGGAGCGAAUGCGCUGGAUACUAUCCAACUUGAGUACGGAAGAGGUGAGUGGAAUGCCUGGUGUAGCGGUGGAAUGCUCAGAUAUCAGGCGGAACACCUGUGGCGAAGGCGACUCACUGGUCCGGUACUGACGCUGAUGCGCGAAAGCGUGGGGAGCAAACGGG
rnacentral:rRNA from 1 species